rnacentral:rRNA from 1 species
AUGAAGCCUUCUGGUAAGCGUACCAGCCAACACAGGGAUCAUGACAGAGAAGACAGGGAUCAAAAGCGGAGGCCGUCUCACACUCAGGAAACCUCCGGUACGGACGAAUUGGUUGUUUACCGGAUACUUUGUCCAGACAAAGUGAUUGGUAGUGUAAUUGGCAAGGGUGGCAAGGUGAUAAAUUCCAUCCGGCAACAGACGAAUGCCAAAGUCAAGAUUGUCGACCCAUACCCUGGUGCUGACAAAAGGGUUAUUUUGGUAUAUUGUUAUGUCAAGCAUAGAGACGUCAUGAUUAGCGACAUAGAUGCUGCUGCUGAUGAUGAUAGGGAGCCUGUUUGCGCAGCACAAAGUGCAUUACUCAAGGUGCAUGAUGCAAUUGUUGAUGCUCUGGCAAUCACUAGUGACUCUGAUGAUAAAGAAGCCAACAUUCUUGUACCAGCUAGUCAAGCUGCAAGUGUUAUUGGAAAAUCUGGUUCUGUCAUCAAGAGGCUUCGCUCAGUUUCAAAAUCAUUCAUUAAAGUUAAACCAAAAGAUCCAAGUGAUGUUACACAUUCAUGUGCUAUGAGUUUUGAUAAUUUCGUUCAGAUAACUGGGGACGCUAGAGCUGUCAAGAAGGCAUUGUUUGCAGUAUCAACAAUUAUCUACAAAUGUCCAUCAAAAGAGAACAUUUCUCUUGAAACAUCUAUUGACGAACUUCCUCCAACCAUUAUACUUCCUUCAGAGCUUCCAGUUUAUCCGGCUAGCAGCUUAUACUCAGUGUCAGAUGCUUCUGUGUCAUCUGGGCAUCCAAGUCUGUCUAUCUUAGGGGCAAGAAGUCGUGGUUCUCAUGUUCCUGAAUUUACUGUACCCACUGAUGCCCAUGGUGGAUUGCCCAUUUAUCAGUCUAUGGUCCCAGCUAUUCCUACUUAUAACACCCCCAAAUGUUCAGGAGAGCUAUUGGUGCGUGUUGUAUGCCCUGGUGACAAGAUUGGGUUAGUUAUUGGUAAAGGUGGGAUGACCAUAAAGAAUAUAAGGAAAGAAAGUGGUGCAAGCGUAGAUGUUGAUGACGCAAAGAAUGAUAAGGAGGAAAGCAUAAUCACCAUUUCGUCAACUGAGGCCACCAAUGAUGUUAAGUCUGCAGCUGUGGAAGCUGUUCUUCUGCUUCAAGCAAAGAUCAACGAUGAAACUGAAGAUAGAAUGCAUCUCCGCCUUCUUGUUCCGGGUAAUGUCAUUGGCUGCCUUAUCGGCAAGGGUGGUUCAAUCAUUAAUGAUAUGCGGAAUAAGUCUAAGGCAAUUAUCCACAUAUCCAAGGGUACUAAGCCCCGGAAGGCAUCUUCCAAUGAUGAGCUUGUCGAGGUGUUCGGGGAAGUGGACAAACUGCGUGAUGCUCUUGUUCAGAUCGUUCUAAGGCUCCGGGAAGAAGUUCUGAAGGACAGUGCGGGGAGGCAAAAUUCUGGCAAGGAUGGGAAGCUAACUGUUGCCACCACUGAACCCGUGUAUUCAAGCAGCUUUCCGAUGCCAGCAUUAUUACCUUACAGUCAACAAAUCACCCCAUUGCGCCAUGAACAAAGGGGUGAAGCUGAGCGUGGUUUGAAUGUAUUUCCUCGUAGCAGCUUGUAUCAUGGAUACAGCCCCAGGCAGGCUGUAGAUGAUGGAUUUGGAGUACGCUCCUCAUACACUUCAAAGCCUUAUGGAAGACGCGUCCCGGAUAUGGAAAUGUUUAUUCCUUCUAGCGGCCUUUCAAAAGUAAUGGGGAAGCAUGGUACAAACUUGGACAAUAUUAGAAAGAUUUCUGGAGCUGACAUUGAAAUUAUUGAAUCAAAAUCAUCUCGUCAUGAGCAUGUUGCUAACAUAUUUGGCACCCCGGAGCAGAGGCAGUCGGCAGAGAAUUUGAUCAAAGCUUUCAUAAUGUCUACUUAA